rnacentral:lncRNA from 1 species
GGCAGCAGGUGUCCCCGGAGCGCCCGGCAGACGUGACGCAUUUGGCGGCGGGGAGGGGGGCUUUCUCUGUGGUCCGACGCUGUGUCAAGCUCUGCACCGGCCAUGAGUAUGCAGCCAAGAUCAUCAACACCAAGAAGCUGUCAGCCAGAGAUCACCAGAAGCUGGAGAGAGAGGCUCGGAUCUGCCGCCUUCUGAAGCAUUCCAACAUCGUGCGUCUCCACGACAGCAUCUCCGAGGAGGGCUUCCACUACCUGGUCUUCGAUCUGU